CUUGCAUUUGCCCUGUAGGGGAAUAUAUUUCAAAAUUAUGUUUAAUCAAUUGAAUUUACCACAGAUGAACUCAAAAGAAACAUCUUAAAGGUGAACCAGAGAAAUUAGAUGCAUCUGAGCUAAAUGUCAUAGCAAAGAGUCUGGUUUUUGCUUGCUUUGUCAAUAUGGGAUAUUGAAUGCAUAAUGAUAUGAAGAAAAAAAAAUAUUUAAACAAUUGCAGCAUAAGGCUACAAUAUAAAAAAAGUGAAUAAAUUAAGGAGUCUGAAUACUUUUUGGAUGAUAUGUAGAUGAAAAGCAGAAUGCACUGUAGACGUUAAGGUUUCUUCCAAAAUAAGCAAUGGAGGCUGGUCCAUAGUUGUAGGUGCCAUCCCCUCCCAGUUUUCAUUGCAUUAAAGAAAGAAAUCAAAUCUAUUGGCAUCAUAAGGACUACCGAUAAGUGUGUGUUAGUUUCUAUUCUUCCCUUUAUUGAUGACUGGAAAUGCAACUGGUUUCAAUACGGCAAGGCACCUCAUGAGGUUAAGAGGGUAGAGCCCAACAAGUGGGGGAAAAGUAGCACCCGACUACAUUUAAACUUCACCAACUGCAACUGUUAUGAGGGAUAUUUUCCAUUUUUACGAUGUUCAUGAACAGGAGCAGGAGGGCUUCAAUUGCAUUGUUGUCGAUCUACAUUCUUUUUUAUUUUUUCUUGAGUGACUACAUCUUCAAUCGGUGCUGCUGUUGAGGUCUGGAAGCUACUAACUUGGACUGUAUAGACUG